CUUGCUACAACAACAAUGAAAUAUUAUUAACUGAACAACAUUCUACAAUCCUAUAUAGAUGGAAUAAUGGUUCACCUUUUCUUUCCACAAAAUUCUGAUCGAAGAUUUGAACAGAUUCAGCAAAAAAACAUGGUUAACAUGUAAAAUGCCGCUAGACGAUUUCAAUAUAAAGAAGAAAAAAAAUCAUGUCAUCUCCACCUGCAUACUAAACUUCCUAAUCGACAACUAAUGCCACGAUAUAUGGGUCUUUGGCCUGACAAUACUCUCCACCGGCAAUGUCUCGUCCUUCCGCUAGAUAUCCACCUUUAAAUUUGAAGAAUUUAAAUACUACAGUAGUAACUAACACAUCUGCUCUCAGGUAUGAAUUCUUAAAAAUAGGGGCCGCCAUACUCUGCAAUAUACAUGCAUAACAACAAAAAUGAUACAUGAGAACAUUUGAUUUUGAAUAAGAUUGCUCGUAAUCAUCCAUAGAAACUUGCUACAAAAAUAGUUUUCAUUACGCAUACCUGAACAUAUGACAUGCCUAUCAUGGCCUUCAUUGCAAUGUAAACACACAUACAUCAAAUUAUCAAUAAAUCAAGUUCCUCACAUUCAACCCGACAGAAAUAAAUGAAAGCAAAUCAUUCAUGAAUUUGCACAGAAAUCUGGAGGAUAUUUGAGUAGUAUCAAAGCUAUAAGCGAACUUGUAUAUGUGCGAACCUGUGUCAAUCAAACUACAGUGCAACAUUUCUCUCUUCCCUAGUUCUCCACAAAAUGUUUGAUCUUUGUCAAUCGUGACUAUCAAUGAUCCAGUGAACCAUAUAUUGGCUGGGGUGAGUAAUAAGUGGUCUCUGCAGUAAAGAAAACACAAGAACAUAUAUAACAACUUUCCAUUACCAGAGAAAUAACUAAAUUAUUCAGAAGCUUCAGGCAAUAAUGAAUAGCAAGUAAUUAGUAAUACUCUGCAAGCUUCAGGCAAUGAAUUAGUGCUGAAAGUGAAAUAUAUAAGAGAGAAAUAACUGAAAAUUGUUCAGAAGCUUCAGGCAAUCCAUAACCGAAGCAAGAAGCGUCAGCGCGUAGAGCGACCAGUUUGAGGAUUCAAUACCUUGAGGAUUUUAAUUUUAUAAUCGCUAGGUAAUUAAUCAGGAGGAAAAAAACAUACCUGAAUAUAUAAUGGAGUGAAAAGUUGAACGGCUGGUGAAGUCCACACCAAGAUAUGUACUGACAACCUGUCAGUACCAGGGCAAUAUUCGUUGGGGAAGAUACCUGAAAACUGAGUUGCAAGCAUAGCUUGUUUCCGUUAUCCUUGGUUCAUAUGCACAGUCUGUUUGGAGGUCAUGGCUUUCCUUACCCUGCAGCAGGGCUAAACUCCAGAUACCUUCAGCCAACCAGAGAGAGUGAAAGCUCAACUCUUCUUUUUUACUUGGGCCAAAGAUAUGCUUACCAAAAUGCUGCUGGAUCAAAGAUUAGGGCGUUAGGCACAUGCAAAUGAGGUUAUUAGUACAUUAUCAACAAUUAACUAAUAUUGUUUAUUUAUAAGAUCAGGGAACCUGCUAUUUUGAUAUGUUCAGUGGGAGAAUCUACAGUACUGUAUAUGCAAAUAUCUUCAGACCAUGUCUCUUCAAAUUGCUAGUCUCAUUGACAUGAUUUGCGAAACAGUCCCAGAGACACAAACCAGCAAUGCAAUAGUUCGCAGCAGGUGCCGCUGGUGGCCCCUGAAGUAGCAAAAGAAUCACCAGCCGACGGCAGAAACAUGUAACUUGCGACUGGCAUAUUCUCGUCGGCAAACAGUAGCAAAAUGGCCCGUGCGUUGCAACGGGAUAAUAAAUUUGCGGCCUUCAAAUCAAGCGACUGAGAUCAUAAUAUCUAUAAUCAUUAUAAAUAAUGUACAAGCCAUCUUGUUAAUUCAAAUCAAAUAAAACUGAUCCCUGGUUACACUUAAGAAUUAGACAUCCUAAUACAGCACAUUUAGUUGAUGGACUACAUGACACAAGCUUUAGAGGCCAGUUGUCAUGAACCAAAAUGAAUCAAACAGAUGGAAGUGAUGUAUAAGGUCAAUGGAACCUUUUGGAGUGGCAGCUACAGUAUCAACGCACCACGAGGCUUACACUCUCUUAUGGCACACAUAUGU
rnacentral:lncRNA from 1 species